rnacentral:rRNA from 1 species
GGAGUUUGGGCCGUGUCUCAGUCCCAAUGUGGCCGGUCGCCCUCUCAGGUCGGCUACUGAUCGUCGCCUUGGUGAGCCGUUACCUCACCAACAAGCUAAUCAGACGCGGGCCCAUCCCAUACCACCGGAGUUUUUCACACCGUACCAUGCGAUACUGUGCGCUUAUGCGGUAUUGUCAGUCGUUUCCAACUGUUAUCCCCCUGUAUGGGGCAGGUUGCCCACGCGUUACUCACCCGUCCGCCACUCGGUUUUAAAUCGUCAUCCCCGAAGGAAAUCGUAAUAAAAAACCUCGUUCGACUUGCAUGUGUUAAGCACGCCGCCAGCGUUCAUC